rnacentral:sRNA from 1 species
ACACGGGAGAGGAGGUGGUCCAGCAGAUGAGCUACAGCAGGACACGUGAGGUGGCCGUCAGCUAGCACCACGUUCUGCUCCGGCGGGGAGAACCCGUCGGAGAGGCGGUCGUGGAAGCCGGUGUGGUGCCGGCGAGUUCCCGACGGUCACCCGUGAUCCCCGGGUCCGAACUCUGUCCGGUUCGGUGACGCACCCCGGUGCGGCCCGGGGAUCACGCAUGUC